AGUGAACGCUGGCGGUAGGCCUAACACAUGCAAGUCGAACGGCAGCACAGUAAGAGCUUGCUCUUACGGGUGGCGAGUGGCGGACGGGUGAGGAAUACAUCGGAAUCUACUUUUUCGUGGGGGAUAACGUAGGGAAACUUACGCUAAUACCGCAUCCGACCUACGGGUGAAAGCAGGGGAUCUUCGGACCUUGCGCGAUUGAAUGAGCCGAUGUCGUAUUAGCUAGUUGGCGGGGUAAAGGCCCACCAAGGCGACGAUCCGUAGCUUGUCUGAGUGGAGGGUCAGCCACACUGGAACUGAGACACGGUCCAGACUCCUACGGGAGGCAGCAGUGGGGAAUAGUGGACAAUGGGCGCAAGCCUGAUCCAGCCAUACCGCGUGGGUGAAGAAGGCCUUCGGGUUGUAAAGCCCUUUUGUUGGGAAAGAAAAGCAGCAGGUUAAUACCCCGCUGUUCUGACGGUACCCAAAGAAUAAGCACCGGCUAACUUCGUG
rnacentral:rRNA from 1 species